rfam:Spinacia oleracea cultivar SynViroflay scaffold30281.con0002.1, whole genome shotgun sequence.
GAAAGCCGUGCGCAAUGAAAAAUGCAAGCACGGUUUGGGGAAAGGUUAUUUUUUUAUUUUUUUAUUUUUUUUAACAGGGAAAUUAUCUACUCCAU